AGUGAACGCUGGCGGUAGGCCUAACACAUGCAAGUCGAACGGCAGCACAGUAAGAGCUUGCUCUUACGGGUGGCGAGUGGCGGACGGGUGAGGAAUACAUCGGAAUCUACUUUCUCGUGGGGGAUAACGUAGGGAAACUUACGCUAAUACCGCAUACGACCUACGGGUGAAAGCAGGGGAUCUUCGGACCUUGCGCGAUUGAAUGAGCCGAUGUCGGAUUAGCUAGUUGGCGGGGUAAAGGCCCACCAAGGCGACGAUCCGUAGCUGGUCUGAGAGGAUGAUCAGCCACACUGGAACUGAGACACGGUCCAGACUCCUACGGGAGGCAGCAGUGGGGAAUAUUGGACAAUGGGCGCAAGCCUGAUCCAGCCAUACCGCGUGGGUGAAGAAGACCUUCGGGUUGUAAAGCCCUUUUGUUGGGAAAGAAAAGCAGCAGGUUAAUACCCCGCUGUUCUGACGGUACCCAAAGAAUAAGCACCGGCUAACUUCGUG
rnacentral:rRNA from 1 species